GGCUUAACACAUGCAAGUCGAGCGAAGACUUCGGUCUUAGCGGCGGACGGGUGAGUAACGCGUGGGAACGUGCCCUUCUCUAAGGAAUAGCCACUGGAAACGGUGAGUAAUACCUUAUACGCCCUUCGGGGGAAAGAUUUAUCGGAGAAGGAUCGGCCCGCGUUAGAUUAGGUAGUUGGUGGGGUAACGGCCUACCAAGCCUACGAUCUAUAGCUGGUUUGAGAGGAUGAUCAGCCACACUGGGACUGAGACACGGCCCAGACUCCUACGGGAGGCAGCAGUGGGGAAUCUUAGACAAUGGGGGAAACCCUGAUCUAGCCAUGCCGCGUGAGUGACGAAGGCCCUAGGGUCGUAAAGCUCUUUCGCUGGGGAAGAUAAUGACUGUACCCAGUAAAGAAACCCCGGCUAACUCCGUGCCAGCAGCCGCGGUAAUACGGAGGGGGUUAGCGUUGUUCGGAAUUACUGGGCGUAAAGCGCGCGUAGGCGGACUAUUAAGUCAGAGGUGAAAUCCCGGGGCUCAACCCCGGAACUGCCUUUGAUACUGGUAGUCUUGAGUUCGAGAGAGGUGAGUGGAAUUGCGAGUGUAGAGGUGAAAUUCGUAGAUAUUCGCAGGAACACCAGUGGCGAAGGCGGCUCACUGGCUCGAUACUGACGCUGAGGUGCGAAAGUGUGGGGAGCAAACAGGAUUAGAUACCCUGGUAGUCCACACCGUAAACGAUGAAUGCCAGUCGUCGGGUAGCAUGCUAUUCGGUGACACACCUAACGGAUAAGCAUCCGC
rnacentral:rRNA from 1 species